GACCCGUCUUGAAACACGGACCAAGGAGUCUAACACAUAUGCGAGUUUGCGAGUGGAAAAACUCAUUAAGCAUAAUGAAAGUAAUUACAAGAUGCGAAGUCGCAAGACUGCAACAUCGACCGACCUUGAUCUUCUGUGAAGGGUUUGAGUAAGAGCAUAUUUGUUAGGACCCGAAAGAUGGUGAACUAUGCUUGAGUAGGGUGAAGCCAGGGGAAACUCUGGUGGAAGCUCGUAGCGAUAUUGACGUGCAAAUCAUUCGUCAAACUUGAGUAUAGGGGCGAAAGACUAAUCGAGCCAUCUAGUAGCUGGUUCCCUCUGAAGUUUCUCUCAGGAUAGCUGGAACAUGAAUGCAGUUUUAUUAGGUAAAGCGAAUGAUUAGGGGCCUCGGAGUUGAAACAACUUUGACCCAUUCUCAAACUUUAAAUUGGUAAGAACUAAUAGUUUUCUUAACUGAACUAUUAGGUAGAAUGCAUUGUUCUUAGUGGGCCAUUUUUGGUAAGCAGAACUGGCGAUGAGGGAUGAACCUAACGUAGGGUUAAGGCGCCCAAAUGUACACUCAUCAGACACCACAAAAGGUGUUGAUUCAUAAAGACAGCAGGACGGUGGCCAUGGAAGUCGGAAUCCGCUAAGGAGUGUGU
rnacentral:rRNA from 1 species